rnacentral:rRNA from 1 species
AUUGAACGCUGGCGGCAGGCUUAACACAUGCAAGUCGAGCGGGGGAAGGUAGCUUGCUACCGGACCUAGCGGCGGACGGGAGAGUAAUGCUUAGGAAUCUGCCUAUUAGUGGGGGACAACAUCUCGAAAGGGAUGCUAAUACCGCAUACGUCCUACGGGAGAAAGCAGGGGAUCUUCGGACCUUGCGCUAAUAGAUGAGCCUAAGUCGGAUUAGCUAGUUGGUGGGGUAAAGGCCUACCAAGGCGACGAUCUGUAGCGGGUCUGAGAGGAUGAUCCGCCUCACUGGGACUGAGACACGGCUCAGACUCCUACGGGAGGCAGCAGUGGGGAAUAUUGGACAAUGGGGGGAACCCUGAUCCAGCCAUGCCGCGUGUGUGAAGAAGGCCUUAUGGUUGUAAAGCACUUUAAGCGAGGAGGAGGCUACUUUAGUUAAUACCUAGAGAUAGUGGACGUUACUCGCAGAAUAAGCACCGGCUAACUCUGUGCCAGCCGCCGCGGUAA